UUCAGUUUCACCGUGGCUUUCAUCGAACACGGACGGCUCUCGCUCUCUCUCUCUCUCUCUCUCUCUCUCACACUCUCACUCACUCAUUCGCUCACUCCCUCUACACUCACGCUGGCUGACGCACACGCACGCACGCACGCACGCCUUUAUUUGUGAGAUAGUAAGAUCAAGAAAUGGAAAGAGAUAGAGAGAGGAAAAAAUAGAAAGAAAAUUUGAAAAAAAGUAGAAAAAAGGAAGAAGGAAAAUAAAAGAAACGAAAAUUAAAAGAAAGAAAGAAAGUGAGAAAAUAAAGAGAGAGAAAGAUGAGAGAGAAAAAAUAAAGCUAUCUUACAAACUUUAAUUCAGGAAACAUUUAAAGUGAAAGAAAGAGAAAAAAAGAAAGAAAAUAAAAUAGAGAGAGAGAGACACACGAGAUACGAAGUUUAAAAGAGAAAAAAAAGAGAGAAAAAAAUAAAGAAAAUGAGAAAAUUAAAGAGAGAAUCCAAAAAUAAAUAAACGAACAAAAACACCGAAAUUUAGUGACUUGUUUGCAUUUUGUUUGUUUGUUUGUUUGUUUACUUUGACAAUGGAAGGCAGAUGUUGUUUACAGGCAGCUGUGUGUUUGUUUGUGUUUGUUUGUUUGUUUACCUCCUCCGUGGUGGGCGAAGGGAAAGGCAGGCCAAGCUUCGGGGACAGUGACAAGCUUAAGGUACAGACUGCCCUGGGAAGAGAUGCGACUCUGAUCUGUACAGUCAAGCACGUGUUGGACUACCAGACGGCGUGGAUUCAAAUGAAGAAGGGGAUCGUUCUUUCCAUGGGGGAUGACGUGUUUACGGAAAACCCACGAAUCAGCGUCCACCACCGUUUGACGCUAGAUGGCGCGCAGGCGUGGGUGCUCACUAUCAAGCGUGUCAACCUAAAUGACACGGGGAGUUACAUGUGCUCAUUAAACACUCCGUGGAAGAUGAGAAAGUUCUAUUAUCUUGCUGUUGUGGGUAAGUACGUGUGUUUGGGGGUGUUUGGCAGUGUUUUA